CCUGAUGAAUCCAUGAUGUUCAUUAAUUUUGAUGUUGUGGGGAGUCAGGACUGUUACUUCUGAAAAAAUUAGAGUUGUUUAAAGCAAGCACGCGCUUGAAUACAUUAGCAUGGAAUAAUGAAAUAGGACGUUCGAUUCUAUUUUGUUGGUUUCUAGGAUCAACGUAAUGAUUAAUAGGGAUAGUUGGGGGCAUUAGUAUUCAAUUGUCAGAGGUGAAAUUCUUGGAUUUAUUGAAGACUAACUACUGCGAAAGCAUUUGCCAAGGAUGUUUUCAUUAAUCAAGAACGAAAGUUAGGGGAUCGAAGACGAUCUGAUACCGUCGUAGUCUUAACCAUAAACUAUGCCGACUAGGGAUCGGAUGAUGUUAAUUUUUUAAUGACU
rnacentral:rRNA from 1 species